UACGUAGGGUGCGAGCGUUGUCCGGAAUUAUUGGGCGUAAAGGGCUCGUAGGCGGUCUGUUGCGUCGGGAGUGAAACUCAGGGCUUAACCCUGAGCCUGCUUCCGAUACGGGCAGACUAGAGGUAUGCAGGGGGAGAACGGAAUUCCUCGGUGUAGCGGUGAAAUGCGCAGAUAUCAGGAGGAACACCGGUGGCGAAGGCGGUUCUCUGGGCAUACCUGACGCUGAGGAGCGAAAGUGUCGGGGAGCGAACAGG
rnacentral:rRNA from 1 species